rnacentral:rRNA from 1 species
AAAUUGAAGAGUUUGAUCAUGGCUCAGAUUGAACGCUGGCGGCAGGCCUAACACAUGCAAGUCGAACGGUAACAGGAAGAAGCUUGCUUCUUUGCUGACGAGUGGCGGACGGGUGAGUAAUGUCUGGGAAACUGCCUGAUGGAGGGGGAUAACUACUGGAAACGGUAGCUAAUACCGCAUAACGUCGCAAGACCAAAGAGGGGGACCUUCGGGC